UCCUACGGGAGGCAGCAGUGGGGAAUAUUGCACAAUGGGCGAAAGCCUGAUGCAGCGACGCCGCGUGAGGGAUGACGGCCUUCGGGUUGUAAACCUCUUUCAGUAGGGAAGAAGCGAAAGUGACGGUACCUGCAGAAGAAGCGCCGGCUAACUACGUGCCAGCAGCCGCGGUAAUACGUAGGGCGCAAGCGUUAUCCGGAAUUAUUGGGCGUAAAGAGCUCGUAGGCGGUUUGUCG
rnacentral:rRNA from 1 species